rnacentral:ncRNA from 4 species
UUUGUUCGUUCGGCUCGCGUU